rnacentral:lncRNA from 1 species
AGGUGAUGACAGAAAAAGCUUCAGAGAAAAUCAUCAAUAGUAACCUAUUAACCUGGUAGUCAUUUUUUUCAGCUUUUCUUUAAGAAAUCAACAAGAUUUCAUUGAGGUUAAGAAAGGUCGACUACAACAACCACACAGUUUAUUGGACCAAGUCCACUAUAAAACUCAGAUCUGAGAGUCAGAUUUUUAAAACAAACAUUAAGGCCAUGCUUUAAAUGCUUUCAAUAUUUUUCAAUUAAGAAGAAAACCCAAAAUAAGUCAAACCACCAUCAAAUCUUGUUUUCAGUAGAUAUUUACACCAAAACAAUAUAAAGCUACAGUUUAACAUUAUCAUUUCAUUUAAAGACCUUUAAGAUGGAGCAUAUAUUUGCACCAGGAACGUUGAAACUCUACAAUCAUUUUAUAUCACUCUUUCCUAUAUGCUUGUCCUACUUUUGGAGAACCAUAAUGAUUUUUAGACGUGAUUGAGUGAAAACAUAAAGAGUGAGGAGUGAUCAUCGAAAUGAGAGAGGAGAAAAAGGAAAGGUAAAGUUUGAAGGAAAAACUAUACUCCUUGAAAGGGGAAAGAAAGUAAAUAAGCAUACAUGACUAAAAGAGAGAGAAGGAAAAAAGCUGUCCUCGUCUACACAAGAACAGGUCUCCACAUGGCAUGAUUUUGUACAGUCACGUCAACUUAAAAACUACCUCACCAUCUUAUAAUC